CUGGGGGCCAUGAACUGUGGCUGCGAGAAGAGUCGGUGUGGCUCAGAGCAGCUGAGAAGGGAAGGAUGUAGAUGCACUAGGGAACCUGCAGAAGCUGAAAAGGAACCUGUACUUCUCAUUUUAUCAAGUCAUAUAUCACCACCCAGCUAGGGACAGACUACAGGAUCCAUGAGAGAAACAGAGAACUCCACAAUCCUUCCUCUGGAAUUUCUCUGGGGAGUAAAAUUAACAAAGAGGAUUUUAGCGCCUGGAAAUUCCAGGGUCAUGACUGGAAGAAGCCUUAAAAGUAAAGAGGCUGGGACCUGUGGCAGAAAAAG
rnacentral:lncRNA from 1 species